rnacentral:lncRNA from 1 species
AAGUUUCCACACAAUGUCAUGAAUAAUGGGAGACCUACAAUCUCACUUACUAGAAUGUUAUUGUAGCGGUAAGUUCAUGAUCGUCAAGCUAUGAAUAAGCAGGACAUCAAAUAACAAGAGUCGCCACCGCGCUUUUAUUGUUUCCAAGGGAAAAGGGAAAAAGUACAAACAAAAUCCAAAAGUAAGAAGUUUUCAAAUCAAAACUAAUAAAAU